AGAUUGAACGCUAGCGGCAUGCCUAACACAUGCAAGUCGAACGGUAACAGGCCCUUCGGGGUGCUGACGAGUGGCGGACGGGUGAGUAAUGCGUAGGAAUCUACCCACGAGUGGGGGAUAGCCCGGAGAAAUCCGGAUUAAUACCGCAUAUGCCCUACGGGGUAAAGCGGGGGUCGGUAAGACCUCGCGCUGGUGGAUGAGCCUACGUCCGAUUAGUUAGUUGGUGGGGUAAAGGGCCUACCCAAGGCGUACGAUCGGUAGGCUGGUCUGAGAGGACGGACCAGCCACACUGGGACGUGAGACACGGCCCGACGACU
rnacentral:rRNA from 1 species